CCGAAAGUGUUUUUCCUAAAGUCUCCAGCAGCGUUUUUAUCCAGCGUUCCUGGAAUGUAACCUUUAUCGGCAGAAACGGUGAUAUUAACGUCACACAACAAUAAUUUCGACUGAAGGAGUGUAAUUCAUCACAGCAGAGGAGAUCAGACUCUUCAGGACUCGGCUGUGUGUUUGUGCCAUCGUUACUAAUUUUCAAAGAUGGAUAAUCCUGACUGGGACAAAGAUAUUUCCAGGCUCUUAGAAGAACGUGAAUUCUAUGGAAAAAGACGAGGAUCCCCAUCACCCAGCGGUGUCUCCAUAAAGAGUGCGAGGUCUUUGGAGCCUCCUACGAAUUUUAGUGGUGGGGUUUCAUCACCUCUACACAGUGAAUUCUAUGGAAACAGACCAGGAUCCCCAUCACCCAGCAGUGUCUCCAUGAAGAGUGCGAGGUCUAUGGAGCCUCCUGAGAAUUUUAGUGGUGGAGUUUCAUCACCU